AGUGAACGCUGGCGGUAGGCCUAACACAUGCAAGUCGAACGGCAGCACAGUAAGAGCUUGCUCUUACGGGUGGCGAGUGGCGGACGGGUGAGGAAUACAUCGGAAUCUACUUUUUCGUGGGGGAUAACGUAGGGAAACUUACGCUAAUACCGCAUACGACCUACGGGUGAAAGCAGGGGAUCUUCGGACCUUGCGCGAUUGAAUGAGCCGAUGUCGGAUUAGCUAGUUGGCGGGGUAAAGGCCCACCAAGGCGACGAUCCGUAGCUGGUCUGAGAGGAUGAUCAGCCACACUGGAACUGAGACACGGUCCAGACUCCUACGGGAGGCAGCAGUGAGGAAUAUUGGGCAAUGGGCGCAAGCCUGAUCCAGCCAUACCGCGUGGGUGAAGAAGGCCUUCGGGUUGUAAAGCCCUUUUGUUGGGAAAGAAAAGCAGCAGGUUAAUACCCCGCUGUUCUGACGGUACCCAAAGAAUAAGCACCGGCUAACUUCGUG
rnacentral:rRNA from 1 species